CCUACGGGAGGCAGCAGUGGGGAAUAUUGCACAAUGGACGAAACUCUGAUGCAGCAACGCCGCGUGAGUGAAGAAGUCUUUCGGUAUGUAAAGCUCUAUUAGCAGGGAAGAAGAUGCCGGUACCUGAGUAAGUAUCCCCGUCUAAAUACGUUACAGCAGCCGCGGUAAUACGUAGGGCGCAAGCGUUCUCCGGAUUUACUGGGUGUAAAGGGAGCUUAUUCGGUGUGACAAGUCUGAAGUGAAAGCCCGGGGCUCAACCGCGGGACUGACUUGGAUACUGCCUGACUGGAGUGCAGCAGAGGGAAGCGGAAUUCAUAGUGUAGCGGUGAAAUGCGUAGAUAUUAGGAAGAACACCAGUGGCGAAGGCAGCUUGCUGGGCAGUAACUGACGUUGAGGCUCGAAAGCGUGGGGAGCAAACAGGAUUAGAUACCCUUGUAGUC
rnacentral:rRNA from 1 species